UCCCGAUGGCUCAGAGGGUAAAGCGCCUGUCAGCAAUGCAGGAGACUCAGGUUCGAUCCCUGGGUCAGGAA
rnacentral:tRNA from 1 species